UGGACUCGGAGACUUGGAAUGUCGUCCUAGAGAAUGCACGUGGCCUCGCUUUUAGAUACUCCUCCGUGGAGAGUGAUUUGUGUGACAUGUAAUCGACUUGUUCGAUUUGUUUGAAGCGAAUGGCUGUUUAUUGUGAAUUGUACUGACUUGCAGGUGAGAUCUGAGGCCAAGGUAAGUCCUCUGCCCUGUGCGUGUUUAGGCAGCCUUUAGUAUAAUAGUUUAUCUAAUCGGGCUUAGUGGGGUAGAACUCGCUGAG
rnacentral:lncRNA from 1 species